ensembl:lncRNA LINC01837 long intergenic non-protein coding RNA 1837
CUCCAAUAAAACAUGUCAGAGUCGAUUAAGGACAUUUUUCAAUGAGGUAUAAUUCACAGAUUUUAGUAGCGAAUCCAAGAGCACUGAAGUAUUAAAGAGGCUGUGAAUACUUAAUUAAGGCUAUGUUACCAUCCUACCUUUGCCUGAAUUCACUUAACGCUUUGGAGCUCUGCUCUGAAAACGCACAAUUUGUCUGAUGGCGGGGUCGGAGGAGUAGCAGGUAAUGUCAUUGCAUGUACACAGUUUAAGACAGAGCAUCUGGUGAUUCUCGGACCUUCAAGCAAGUGUCACAUCUCAGGUGAACCUUGGCAGUUUUAAGAUGAACAAAGUAAUCAAAGCAAAAAUGUCAAAUAAUAAUAAUAAUAAUGAUAUCAGAAGAAUGUCCAGUGCCAUGGUUGGAUUCCCAGAAGGCAGCAUCUGCUCAUGCCAUCAACAACAUGGUGCCAUUUCAGUCAUCCUCUUUUUGUCCCAAAGACAGAAAAAAAAUAGAAAAAAGAAAGAGAAAAAGACACCACGAACCGUCUAUCCUCCUGGGUGUGAGGUUUGGAGGGCCUCUCGUCAAAACUUUGGAGGGCUCUGUCAGUUUGAAAAGAACAUGACCUUUAAAUUGUAUCAGUAUGUUUGCUGGUGCAUAAGGGAGAGGAAAAGGUUCGUCCUGAUGGAAAACCACUCAGAAGCCAAGGAGUAAUUCAGAGGGAACCAGCCCAGGAAGAAUCAAGAAAGCUGCCCACAGUGUCAUUCUUCAGCUGAGAAAAGAGAGAGUUGACUAACUCCUCGGACUGGAGUGAGGACUCACAGAGGUGGUAGGACACUAACCAUCUAUGUCUCCAUUUCCUGGGUUGUAACACUGAGGUAGAACAUCUCACUGUCCCAUGGAGGAUUAUGUUAUUUUUGGAGAUUAAUAAUUUUGGAGGAAGAAAGGUGGCUUCCUGAAAAGGAAGUCACAUGAAGAAGCAACUUACACGGUGGUCUCUUUAAAUAAACAUAUUGUGACUAGACAA